rnacentral:rRNA from 1 species
GAUGGACCCGCGCCGUAUUAGCUAGUUGGUAAGGUAACGGCUUACCAAGGCGACGAUACGUAGCCGACCUGAGAGGGUGAUCGGCCACACUGGAACUGAGACACGGUCCAGACUCCUACGGGAGGCAGCAGUAGGGAAUCUUCCGCAAUGGGCGAAAGCCUGACGGAGCAACGCCGCGUGAGUGAUGAAGGGUUUCGGCUCGUAAAACUCUGUUAUUAGGGAAGAACAAACGUGUAAGUAACUGUGCACGUCUGACGGUA